rnacentral:tRNA from 1 species
CGCGCGGAUCGCCGGGGUCGCCGGCGUCGGGGUGAUCCGGACGUCCAGCGGCGGGCUGACGUUGUUGCGGUAGUUCGACUCCAGCACCGAGCGG